UCUUGUAAUUUAGGACUGGAAUGAACGGUUUAACCAAAGUAAAUUUGUCUUUUAAUAAUAUUUUGAAUUUUAUAUUUUAGUAACAAAGCUAAAAUUANAUUUGAGGGACGAGAAGACCCUAUCAAGUUUUACAAAUUNUANNNUAUUANUUUUCAACAUNAAUAAAUCACNUUGNUUUAGCUGGGGCAGCUUAUAGAAUAAAUUCUAUUUUUUUAUUGUNNAAUUUUAAAUUUUGUUUUAUCCUANAAUUUUAGAAUUAAAAAUAAAUUACUGUAGGGAUAACAGCAUAAUUUCUUUAAAGAGUUCUUAUCAUAAAAGAAGUUUGUGACCUCGAUGUUGGAUUAAGAGCCCUAUUCAACGCAAAAGUUAAAUUAGGAAGUCUGUUCGACUUUUAAACUCUUCCAUGAUCUGAG
rnacentral:rRNA from 1 species